GUCAGAUUGAACGCUGGCGGCAUGCCUUACACAUGCAAGUCGAACGCGAAAGCGGGGCAACCCGCAAGUAGAGUGGCGAACGGGUGAGUAAUACAUCGGAACAUAUCCAGUAGCGGGGGAUAACCUGUCGAAAGAUAGGCUAAUACCGCAUACGACCUACGGGUGAAAGCGGAGGACCGCAAGGCUUCGCACUAUUGGAGUGGCCGUUGUCGGAUUAGCUAGUUGGCGGGGUAACGGCCCACCAAGGCGACGAUCCGUAGCUGGUCUGAGAGGACGACCAGCCACACUGGAACUGAGACACGGUCCAGACUCCUACGGGAGGCAGCAGUGGGGAAUUUUGGACAAUGGGCGCAAGCCUGAUCCAGCCAUGCCGCGUGAGUGAAGAAGGCCUUCGGGUUGUAAAGCUCUUUCGGCGGGGACGAAAUGGUUCGUGCUAAUCCACGAU
rnacentral:rRNA from 1 species